UACCGAGGUCUCAAGCGUUGUUCGGAUUCAUUGGGCGUAAAGGGUGCGUAGGCGGCGCGGUAAGUCGGGUGUGAAAUCUCGGGGCUUAACUCCGAAACUGCAUUCGAUACUGCCGUGCUUGAGGACUGGAGAGGAGACUGGAAUUUACGGUGUAGCGGUGAAAUGCGUAGAUAUCGUAAGGAAGACCAGUGGCGAAGGCGACUUACUGGACACAUAUUGACGCUGAGGUGCGAAAGCGUGGGGAGCAAACAGG
rnacentral:rRNA from 1 species